rnacentral:rRNA from 1 species
GUGUCAGCAGCCGCGGUAAUACGGGGGGAGCAAGCGUUGUUCGGAUUUACUGGGCGUAAAGGGCGCGUAGGCGGUCAGCACAAGUCAGUUGUGAAAUCUCCGGGCUUAACUCGGAAAGGUCAACUGAUACUGUGCGACUAGAGUGCGGAAGGGGCAACUGGAAUUCUCGGUGUAGCGGUGAAAUGCGUAGAUAUCGAGAGGAACACCUGCGGCGAAGGCGGGUUGCUGGGCCGACACUGACGCUGAUGCGCGAAAGCCAGGGGAGCGAACGGGAUUAGAAACCCUCGUAGUCC